AUAUCUGUAUCCUACAGAGCAUUAGCUACUAUUAAAAUGUCAAUUUAGUUUGAGCAAGGCACCGUUUGUUUUUCCCUAACAAAAAACUGUUCCCAACACCCAGCUGCCUGGAUAAAAUGCUGUCUCUUGAAAACCUCAAUGAGAAAACAGCUUAUCCUGAAGGUGAACAUCCUGACACAAAUGAUUUUAAGUAAGCAUUAGCAGAAUGCUUCAUCACACUGGAAAAAUUGUCAACAGGGAUUAAGUUUCCUCCAAGCUUUUUGAGAGCUGAAGAUUUUGGUAAGACUUCUAACCUUUUGGUUGUUUCUAUACUUCAUAUUACCUGUUU
rnacentral:lncRNA from 1 species